rnacentral:rRNA from 1 species
AACGAACGCUGGCGGCACGUUUUAAGCAUGCAAGUCGAAUGGCAGCAGGGGCAACUCUGUGAGAAUGGCGAACGGGUGAGUAACACGUAGGUGAUCUGCCUUGAGGAUGGGGAUAGCCUGUGGAAACACAGGGUAAUACCGAAUGAGCUGACGAGACUUUGGUUUUGUUAGUAAAGGUGCUACGGCACCGCCUUGAGAGGAGCCUGCGGCUGAUUAGCUAGUUGGUGGGGUAAGAGCUUACCAAGGCGACGAUCAGUAGCCGGCCUGAGGGGGUGGACGGCCACGCUGGAACUGAGACACGGUCCAGACUCCUACGGGAGGCAGCAGCUAAGAAUCUUCCGCAAUGGGCGAAAGCCUGACGGAGCGAUGCCGCGUGAUCGAUGAAGGUCGAGAGAUUGUAAAGAUCUUUUCUACAUGAGGAAUAAGUCUGGGAGGGAAUGCCCGGAUGAUGACGUUAGUGUAGGAAUAAGCCCCGGCUAAUUACGUGCCAGCCGCCGCCGAAA